AUGGAGACGGUGUUGGGCUCCUCACCAGGUCUCUCCUGGGUUUGCCCACUCCUAGCACUAUGUGAGAUAGAAAGAAAACUCAGGGAACUCAUUUUAUACUCAUAAGCUCCCUACUCAGUAUUUCUUCUUCUCAGCUAUUUGAGUCCUAUUAUCAUUGUGUUCUGAAUUACUUCCAGGGCAUUCAGUCAUAGAAGGAUGGAGCACGGAAACAUGAGCUAUGGCAUCUUCUUCCAGAACUGAGCUUUCCAAGUGCAUUUACUAAUUUACGUAUUUUAAUCUUGGCAAUUACUUUGAGGUAGAUAAUACACAAUCUUUUAUUUUCCACAUAUGACAGUUUAGGAAAGAAAAAUUAAAAUUAAUAAGAUCCUUGCAAUGUCACCAAGGAAGGCAAUAUAUAUAAGUGAAUCACAUACAGAGCUGUACAAAUGCGUGCCUAUAUAUAGGCAAAAAAAAAAAGAUAGUUAUGACUGUGAUCCUGAACAGACUUACAGCUAUAUUAUCUACUUUAAUCACAAAAUAAAGCAAUUUGGAAUGAAUGAAAAAGCUUUUAAAAGUUACUGUAAUUUAUACACUUUUUUCAAAUGUCAUUAUAAAUCACAUUUCAUUUUUCAUCAUUUUUCACGGCAUUGCUGGGGAAUCUACUUAGCAACAUUUUUCAGUUGUGUUAUUUUAUAAUUACAAUAAAGAAAACACAGCUUUAUGAAUUGAUUCUUCUUACAAAACAAGAUAUCCCUUGUUAACAAGACGCAAAGUAAUUGUAUUUACUAAAAAGUUAAAAUUCUUUGUGUAUAUUUGGAGAUUCUUCUUCAUAUAAUGGUUUUUCUUAAAUUCUCAGACAUUUUAGAAUUUCCAUGUUUUGGUGGGAAAUAUUCCUUUGGUUUUAUGUAACUAAGGAGAGCGUAUAUCAAAUCUUGAAAGAGAAAUGAAAUAAUCCUAUUAACAUGGAAAGAAAGGGAUAAAAAGAGUUGGCUGAAGUCAGAUUAUAUUCACUGCAGUGAU
rnacentral:lncRNA from 1 species